rnacentral:misc_RNA from 1 species
GAUGAAGAACGCAGCGAAAUGCGAUAAGUAAUGUGAAUUGCAGAAUUCAGUGAAUCAUCGAAUCUUUGAACGCACCUUGCACUCCUUGGUAUUCCGAGGAGUAUGCUUGUUUGAGAGUAAUGUAAUCAUCAAUCCUCCUUUACUUUUGUGAAGUUGGCUUGGAUUUGGGGAUUGCUGGCCUUUCAUUAGGUCCUGGCUUCCCUUGAAUGCAUUAGUUGAAUCAAGUUACAACGUUACGUGUGGUGUGAUAAUAUCUUCACUGCAUAGUUGUAAUGAAGUUUGGCUUCUAACAGUCCUUCACUGGACAAUACUUUGAACAAUGUACCUCAAAUCAAGUAGGACUACCCGCUGAACUUAAGCAUAUCAAUAAGCGGAGGU